AUAAAAUUCAGGGAAUUGGAAACUUGUGGUGUAUGUUUUUUUAUUUUUAUAAAUCAGGUCAAAAGGAAUACUCUAUAUAUAAAGAAAUAAAAAAAUUGUUUCAAAAUAAUUAUGACAAGUUUUUAUUUAUUUUUAGUUAUUAAGACCAGCUGUAUAUAUAAUGGAGUCUCAAGGAUGAAUUUGUCUUUGCUGGAUUUUUUUUUUAUUAUUUUUAUUGAAAAUGUUAAUAUAAUAUGCACAACAAAUUCCAAUGUGGAAUUCUAUUUUUCUUGAUUAUUCACAAGUAUUCCCACUUAAAAAACACUGUUUUUAUAAACUCUACAAGGUAUCUUUCAUAAACGCUGCAGUACUUUGCAUAAUAUUGAAAUAUGUAUUCACGAUCAUAUGUAAUUCAAUCGUUUUGACUUCUAAAGAGUACUCUCCUCCUUAAUAACAACACACUUUUAUUAUUACGUUUUUGAUUUUUUCUUUUUUUUUUUCUUUUCCAUUUUUGUAAUGGUAUUUUAAAUCUGAGUUCGUUAAAGCUAGUAGCCCAUUCUGAAAACAAAGAAAACACACAGAAUAAAAACGGAUGCUGCAUAUCCCCAAGAA
rnacentral:lncRNA from 1 species